rnacentral:lncRNA from 1 species
GAAUUUAUUACAUUUAUAGCUGUACAAUGAUCAUCACAAUCCAAUUUUAUAGGAUUUCCACCCCACAACCCCAGCACAUUCCCCCAUUCCCCAAACUGUCUCCUUUGGAAACAAUAAGCUUUUCAAAGUCUGUGAGUCAGUACCUGUUCUGCAAAGAAGUUCAUUCUGUCCUUUUUCAGAUUCCAUAUAUCAGUGAAAGCAUUUGAUCUUGGUGUCUCAUUGUAUGGCUGACUUCACUUAGCAUGAUAAUUUCUAGGUCCAUCCAUGUUGUUAAAAAUGCCAGUAUUUCGUUCCUUUUAAUGACUAAUAUUCCAUUGUGUAUAUGGACCACAUCUUCUGGAUCCACUCCUCUGUUGAUGGACAUUUAGGUUGUUUCCAUGUCUUGGCUUUGCAAAUAGUGCUGCAGUGAACAUUGGCGUACAUUUGUCUUUGUGAGUCAUGGUUUUCUCUGGAUAGGUGCCCAGGAGUGGGAUUGUUGGGUCAAAUGGUAAUUCUAUUUUUAGUUUUCUGAGGAAUCUCCACACUGUUUUCCACAGUGGUUGCACCAAUUUACAUUCCCACCAACAGUGUAAAAGGGUUCCUUUUUCUCCACACCCUCUCCAGCACUUAUUGUUUGUAGACUUUUUGAUGAUGGCCAUUCUGGCUGGUGUGAGGUGGUAUCUCAUCGUGGUUUUGAUUUGCAUUUCUCUAAUAAUGACUGAUGUUGAACAUCUUUUCAUGUGUUUUUUUGGCCAUCUGUAUGUCUUCUUUGGCGAACUGUCUGGUUAGAUCUUCUGCCCAUUUUUUGAUGGGGUUGUUUGUUUUUUUGGUAUUGAGCUGUAGGAGGUGUUUAUAAAUUUUGGAGUUUAAUCCCUUGUCAGUUGAUUCACUUGCAAAGACUUUCUCCCAUUCUGUGGGUUGUCUUUUUGUGUUGUUUAGGGUUUCCAUUGCUCUUCAGAAACUUUUAAGUUUGAUUAGGUCCUAUUUGUUUAUUUUUGUUUUUACUGUCAAUACUCUAAGAGGUGGAUCUGAGAAGAUGUUGCUGUUGUUUAUGUCAGAGAGUGUUUGGCCUAUGUUUUCCUCUAAGAGUUUUAUAGUGUCUGGUUGUAUGUCUAGGUAAAAGGUACUCAAAAUUGAUACUGAUCAGGAAAGUGCAAAUUUAAACCACAGUGAGAUACCUCUACAGAGUACCUCAAAUUAAAAAACAAAAGUCAAACAAACAAAAAACUGACAAUGGCACAAGGUGAUAAGAAAGUAGAACAAGUAGAAACCUCCUACAUUGUUGGCAGAGAUAUAAACAGGUUCAAACCCUUGGGAAAAUUAUUUGACAGUACCUAAGGCCAGAAGCAUGCUUACCUCAUGAUCUGGCAAUUCUGCUCAUUGGUGUAUACACAAGAGAAAUGAGUAGAUAUGUCCACCAAAAGACACAUUCAUUUUUUUUCGUCAUCACAGCCAAACACUUGAAAUAACUGGAAGAGUCAUCGGUAGUGGCAAGUAUUUACAAAUUAUAAUAUAUUUGUGCUAGAGAAUAUAAUGAAAUAUUGUAUAACAAUAAAAAAAGGAAAAAACUAUGAAUUCAAGCAACCACAUGGAUAAAUCUCACAGAUACAACGCUGAGUAAAGAAAUCCAGGCACAAAUGCCAACAUAUAGUAUGACUAUACACAGUUCAAGAACAUGCAAAACUAACCCCUGGUGAUACAAGUCAGAAUAGCGGUUACCUUUGUGAGGGUCGGAGUGGGAAAAAGAAAGGGGAUAUUAACUCAAAAGCUUUAUGAUGGAGUUUUCUGGGCUGUGGAAAUAAUCUGUACUUUAAUGUAGAUGGUCAUUACACAAUAUAUUAAAAUGUUUUCCAUGAUCUGUAUACUAAGAUUUGGGUACUGUACACAUAUUUUUGACAAAUAAAAAGAAAAAUCAAUAAUGAAAUAAUACUUUUAUUUGUAUUUUAAAAUGUAUACAAUAUAAUACUUUUAAAAUCAGAAUAAAUAUUCUUUAGGAAAAUAAAAUGCACACAUAACCCCAGUACAUAAUGGAUAUUAUAAAAAGAAGAACAUUUGUAGUCCAAAGAUAAAGAGUCUAGAACUAGUUCUUAGUUAUCAAGUGACUUUGAGAAAUCCACUCGCUUCUCUUUGUCCUAAAUUUUUUUUGGGGGGUGCUGCACCUGAGGCCUAUGAAGGUCCCAGGCCAUGGACUAAAUCUGAGAUGCAGGUGCAACUGACACCACAGCUGUGGCCACAGUGGAUCCUCAAUCCACUGUGCCAGGCCAGGGCUCAAACCUGCACCUCCACAGCAACCUGAGCUGUUGCAGUCAGAUCCUUAAUCUGUUGUGCCACAGUGGGAACUCCCUCUUUGUCCUACCUUUUAUAUCUAUGCAAUGAAGUGAUAAAUCUAACACUGACAUUGUACAAAUCAGGCAGGACAAUGGGUUGGCAAUACCUUACUAACACACAUUUUCACUGUUGCUUAUGUGUUUCAGAAGCUCAUCACUGACCAAACAAGCAGAACUAUAAAACAGAUUCUAGUUUUUACCAUGACAUGUUAUCAAACUUUCUCUAAAGGAAUUAUAACAGGUGAUUUCUAAUAUUUCCCUGCAUUUAAAUAUUUGUAAUAUUUAAAUAAGCAGAAAAUAAGUCCCAUGGAAAGUCAUAUUAUUAGUGCAUAAAUUCUGUCUUUAAUCCACAUAUAAAAGUGUGAGCUAUUUGAAGAAAGAAACUAUAUUUUAUUAAUAUUAUGUUCCCACAUAGUACUUAACACAGAGCCUGGAAUUCAGUCAGACCUUAGUAAUUGUUGGAUGAUGAAUAAAGGAGUUUUAAAAAUGAAUGAACCACUUCAAUCUGCCUUUGACUUUCUUAAUUAAUCUACAUGUUCUUAGAUAUCUUUCUAAUUUCAGCGUUUUUUCAAAUUACUUUUUACUCCAUCUUCCUUUCUCUUUAAGGUACUCCUGCCCUUCCCAUUUUCACAACAACCUUAAAUCAGUUAGACCAUUUAGGAUGCUUGUCUGUUUGAUUUACGACUACUUAGUAUCAUCUCUAAGCAUGCAAGAGCUUCUUUCAAAGUAUCUCCACGAAAAUACUGAGUUAGAAAUGUAGCAUCAAUUUAAAAGAAAACAAACUUACCUUUUUGCCAUAAAAUUAUACUUUAUUUAUGUUAGGAAGUCAAACACUGACCUUUUGAACAAAGAAGCUUGGUAAGGCCAGUGUGGGUAGGGAUUUAAGGCCUGGUAUGUUGAGUUCAUCAAAGGACAUACUUGAGAUUCACUGGAGUAUCUCUUGAAAUAAAGGCCUAUUGAACUAAAACACUUAUUAGGGAUGAGUUGGCUUCCUUCCAAGUAACCUGAAUGGAUUCUAGGUUCCAACAAAACUAGGUUUCUAUCUUUGAUUUCUCUUUCAUUCUCCUCCCCACACACCUGCACACAAACAUAUACUCUACCUAUGAAUCGAUUCAUCUGAUGCUGGAUAUAAAGUGGGUGAAUGCUUCUUGACUUUUCUGCAGCCUUCUCAUUUAGUGCUUAUAGCUCAACUUUCACUUACAAAGCAUUAUCUUUUUUUAAAAAUUCCUAUGGCUCCAUCACACAUGCUCAUUUUGGCAAAAUAACCCUUGAGAUAGAAAUCUUAGUGGAUACUACUGUUGUUAACAAGGAGGUGGAUAUUUUCAAAGCCAAAAAUUUAGGUGUGUUGGUGGUAUCUAUAUGAAUUUAAGCCUGGAAUUUUGUGGAUAUCUAUUCAUAAAUAUGUUUGGAAAGGGCCCCAGAAAUAAGAAACAAACGCUGCAUUUAAACAGCAUCCUAUGUUAAAUGAAAAGCAUGGAUUACAUGAUCUCUAAGCAACAAUCUAGCUUCAAUAAAGCAACAACCUAGAUAGUAUAGCUGUGAACUGAUGACUUAUUUUAUUCUGGAAAAGGAGAGGAUGAAAGGGAAAGAAAUGUUUAUUGAGCAAGCAGAUUCUACAAGCCAGGGCAAUGGAAAGACCAAAGACUGACCAUAUUAGAUGCUGUGCCAACUCAUUCUAUAUAAAAAAAUUAACUUGUCAUUAGUGUAAAAAGGUGACUUUUAAAAAUAAUAAUAAAAAAUGGCUUCGAAGUUAGGUUCCUUAAUUUUUAAGUAGAAAGUUAAAAAUAAUUUUUCCAAUAUUUCUUAAUCUAGCUGAUUUCUUCACUUAAGUAACUCAAGAUUCAUCUUGUUAGAAAAGAGUAGCAGAAAAUAGUGUCAAACAUCAUUCUCUAAGGACAAAAAAUUUUUAUCUUAGGAAAGAUGGAGAGUUAUGCAAUUUUUUUCAAAAGUACACUACAUAAUUUCCAAAAUGACUACAUCUCUAGUUAUUUUAUCUUACUAAUAGUAAGGACUGAGCGCAAAAUAAAUCAAAAGAUGCUGCUGAGCACUGUAAAUCUGUUCUAACGACAUGGCAUGUUACAAAUGAAGGUGAUUAAACGUGAAAAACUGCUAUAAACUUCCUGAAGAUUGAUGGAAAAUUAACAGCCACUUUGUCUUCCUGCUUGUGCGCUGGGCAAAAUUAAAUUCCCAGAAGAGUCUAGGAUCCCUUUAAAUUCCAGCUAGUUCUUUGCGAGGAAGGGAUAUGGAUGCUUGAACCCCUUCUACUCUCGCAACAUCCCCUCCCCCAGCCUCUCAUGUGUUCCCAGUGAUAAAGGCUGGGAAGUUCUCAGGCUGCUUCACGCUACCCCUCCCCCAGGCAUCGGAGUUGUUUGUGCCUUUCUUUCCCUGCGAUUUCACUGUGUGUUUAGCCCUCCCUGAGUAGCAGUUUCCUUAGCAACAGGCUUGCCCUUUUCGAGGCUCAAAUGAUGACAGCGGUUUAUGGGCGUGCGUUCUCCCAGGCUCCUUGCUGCCUCGCUCCUGUCUCCCUCAGGAAUGCUCAAAGGUCAAAAAGGAAAGUCCGUGUUGUUUCACCCUUCAGACAAAGGGCAGGAAGCUACCACAGGUUGGGAAAACAUUUUCACUGGGGUAUCUCAUGGAGAAGUCACAUUCGAAGGUUGAGACGAAAGAGAACUAUUUUCCUCGCGCAAGAGGACAGAGAGGUGGAAACAGAGAAGACAAAGGCUGGACCUGGAGGGCUGGCUGCCUGGAGAAAUAGAUUCAGAACUCGGGGGGAGUUUGUGGGAAAGCAACGUAAUCUGUUUUCCCCUUUCUCUAGAUCUUGGAGUCUCAGAAUUAGGAGGAAUAUUUGGAAUUGGUCCCAGACCUGGUAUAAGAAUCGGCUCUGCAAUUUGGGGUUCUGCGCCUUAGGCCCUGAAACUCAUUUGAAAUUCACCAUUUAGGUCUGAAUUUUGGACAUUUAUUUAAAAGCUAUAAUAAAAGAAACACUCAGUGAAUCAUUUACUAAAUUUUAAUAAAAAGCCCGGAGACCAUUCUGUGCUGAUAAAUACUAUUUCUUUGUAUAGAAUUUGUAAUUCAGGAGUUCCCGUCCUCCGAUUCNGGCUUCUAAGUUUUAGGGAUCAUCACUGGCCAGCACAGACUUUUCAAAAUUGUUUUCUUAAUAGUGUAUUUCAAGUUACAUUUUUGCACAUGGAUUUAAAAGAUCGUCGCUUUGCCCUUGUUUUAAAAAUUCACAAGUGGGAAUACCACUGACCCGACCUGUGCUUGGGCACCAGACAAAUAACAGCAAGGCUUUGUCUCCAUUUGUUCAGUAGUUAUUCCUGUCCACCGUAGUGACAUAAUCAGAUGCACAAUAACAAAUAAUCUUAUUAUUAUUUGUCUUAUCGUUAUUUUCAUGAUGCAUUCUCCAUUCAUAGACUGGUGAUUUCUAAAUCUCCACCUGGAUGCUUGCGUUCUAGAUCCAUGUACCUUAAUAUUUACUAAACACCUCCACUUGGAUGUCCCAUAGGAACCUUGGAUUAAACCUGCCCCAAAGUGAACUCAGCACCUUCUUCACUGAUCUGUUCUUUCUCCUGGAGCCAAUAAACUGUACCAUUACUCAUCAUCCCAAUGCUGAAACCUAAAGUCAUCCUGAAUUCUUCUCUCUGCCCCAUCUCCAAUGUAUCACCAAUUCCUGUAGACGCUGCUUCUUUAAGCUCUCUUGAAUCUGUCCACAUCCCCUCAUUGGUCAUGCUGCAGCCCUAAUAAAGUGCCUCCUAACAGGUCAUCCUGCCUCCCUUCUUGCCUUCUGUCUCCAGUCCCUUCUUCAGCUGAGGCUAAAUGAGGCUUUUAAAAAGCAAACCCUCCCCAGUGGUUAGAGCCCUUCAGUGACUCCUUAAUCCCCUUGGGACAAAUAUUCUAAUUUGACUUAAAGGACUUUGCAGCCAUCACCCACUCCCAUCAAGUCACACUGCAUGCUUUCAGCUUCAUCAUCCUUUCUCUACAAGCCAUAUUCACUACUUGAAAUUCUCUUAAUACCCCAUGGGCUUCUUACGGAGCCUUUAUAUAUGUUGAUUCUUUGUCUUAAAUCAUAUAUAUCCUGUCCAUCACUGCUGUGUUCUUCAGAUUUCCAGGUAUUCUUCUUCUGAGAUGUAUUCCCUGACCUAAAAAAAAACUAGAUAAAACAAGCUUCCUCCAUGUGCUAUGUUACAACCACUAACUACCCACAUCACAUUGAUAAUGUACCAUUUCUCCCACCAGACUGGAAAUUACUUGGAGGCAAGGAACAUGUAUCUUGUUCAUUCUUUUUUUUUUUGUCUCUCUCUCUUUUUUUUUUUUUUUUUUUUUUUUUUUUUUUUUGUCUUUUUGCCAUUUCUUGGGCCACUUCCUGCGGCAUAUGGGUUUCCCAGGCUAGGGGUUGAAUCAGAGCUAUAGCUGCCAGACUACGCCACAGCCACAGCAA